CGUGAGUAACCUGCCCAUAAGAGGGGGAUAAUCCAUGGAAACGUGGACUAAUACCGCAUAUUGUAGUUAAGUUGCAUGACUUGAUCAUGAAAGAUUUAUCGCUUAUGGAUGGACUCGCGUCAGAUUAGAUAGUUGGUGAGGUAACGGCUCACCAAGUCAACGAUCUGUAGCCGAACUGAGAGGUUGAUCGGCCGCAUUGGGACUGAGACACGGCCCAG
rnacentral:rRNA from 1 species